ACACGACUCUCGGCAACGGAUAUCUAGGCUCUCGCAUCGAUGAAGAACGUAGCAAACUGCGAUACUUGGUGUGAAUUGCAGAAUCCCGUGAACCAUCGAGUCUUUGAACGCAAGUUGCGACCGAAGCCAUUAGGCCGAGGGCACGUCUGCCUGGGCGUCACGCAUCGCGU
rnacentral:rRNA from 1 species